AGACCCGAAACCCGGUGAUCUAGCCAUGGGCAGGUUGAAGGUUGGGUAACACUAACUGGAGGACCGAACCGACUAAUGUUGAAAAAUUAGCGGAUGACCUGUGGCUGGGGGUGAAAGGCCAAUCAAACCGGGAGAUAGCUGGUUCUCCCCGAAAGCUAUUUAGGUAGCGCCUCGUGAAUUCAUCUCCGGGGGUAGAGCACUGUUUCGGCUAGGGGGCCAUCCCGGCUUACCAACCCGAUGCAAACUGCGAAUACCGGAGAAUGUUAUCACGGGAGACACACGGCGGGUGCUAACGUCCGUCGUGAAGAGGGAAACAACCCAGACCGCCAGCUAAGGUCCCAAAGUCAUGGUUAAGUGGGAAACGAUGUGGGAAGGCCCAGACAGCCAGGAUGUUGGCUUAGAAGCAGCCAUCAUUUAAAGAAAGCGUAAUAGCUCACUGGUCGAGUCGGCCUGCGCGGAAG
rnacentral:rRNA from 3 species